rnacentral:rRNA from 1 species
AGAGUUUGAUCCUGGCUCAGGACGAACGCUGGCGGCGUGCUUAACACAUGCAAGUCGAGCGGAAAGGCCCUUCGGGGUACUCGAGCGGCGAACGGGUGAGUAACACGUGAGCAACCUGUCCCUGGCUCUGGGAUAGCCUCCGGAAACGGGGAUUAAUACCGGACAUGACCUGCUGCCGCAUGGUGGUGGGUGGAAAGUUU